rnacentral:rRNA from 1 species
AUGCUAGCUUGCUAGCAGGCGUCGAGUGGCGGACGGGUGAGUAAUAUAUAGGGGUCUGCCUAAUAGUGGGGGACAACGUGUGGAAACGCACGCUAAUACCGCAUACGCUCUACGGAGGAAAGUGGGGGAUCUUCGGACCUCAUGCUAUUAGAUGAACCUAUAUCGGAUUAGCUUGUUGGUGAGGUAAUGGCUCACCAAGGCGACGAUCCGUAGCUGGUUUGAGAGAAUGAUCAGCCACACUGGGACUGAGACACGGCCCAGACUCCUACGGGAGGCAGCAGUGGGGAAUAUUGCACAAUGGACGAAAGUCUGAUGCAGCAAUGCCGCGUGUGUGAAGAAGGCCUUCGGGUUGUAAAGCACUUUCAGAUGUGAGGAAAAGCAGUCUAUUAAUACUAGAUUGCCGUGACGUUAACAUCAGAAGAAGGACCGGCUAACUCCGUGCCAGCAGCCGCGGUAAUACGGAGGGUCCAAGCGUUAAUCG